rnacentral:rRNA from 1 species
GACGGAGGAUGCAAGUGUUAUCCGGAAUCACUGGGCGUAAAGCGUCUGUAGGUGGUUCAAUAAGUCAACUGUUAAAUCUUGAGGCUCAACUUCAAAAUCGCAGUCGAAACUAUUGGACUCGAGUAUAGUAGGGGGUAAAGGGAAUUUCCAGUGGAGCGGUGAAAUGCGUAGAGAUUGGAAAAAGAACACCAAUGGCGAAAGCACUUUACUGGGCUAUUACUGACACUGAG